rnacentral:rRNA from 1 species
ACAGCAGUCGCCGCGGUAAUGCGAAGGGUGCAAGCGUUAAUCGGAAUUACUGGGCGUAAAGCGUGCGUAGGCGGUGAGUUAAGUCUGCUGUGAAAUCCCCGGGCUCAACCUGGGAAUGGCAGUGGAUACUGGCUCGCUAGAGUGUGUCAGAGGAUGGUGGAAUUCCCGGUGUAGCGGUGAGGUGCGUAGAGAUCGGGAGGAACAUCAGUGGCGAAGGUGGCCAUCUGGGACAACACUGACGCUGAGGCACGAAAGCGUGGGGAGCAAACAGGAUUAGAUACCCCAGUAGUCCCUGUCUCUUAUAC